rnacentral:tRNA from 1 species
UUUAAAAUAGUUUAAUGAAAAUAGAAAAUUUUAGUUUGUGGUACUAAGGAUAAAGAUAAAAAUUUUUUUAAAA